UACGGAGGGUGCGAACGUUAAUCGGAAUCACUGGGCGUAAAGCGCGCGUAGGCGGUUUGUUAAGUGGGAUGUGGAAUCCCCGGGCUUAACCUGGGAAUUGCAUUUCAAACUGGCCGACUAGAGUACGGUAGAGGGAGGUAGAAUUUCCUGUGUAGCGGUGAAAUGCGUAGAUAUAGGAAGGAAUACCAGUGGCGAAGGCGGCCUCCUGGAUCGAUACUGACGCUGAGGCGCGAAAGCGUGGGGAGCAAACAGG
rnacentral:rRNA from 1 species